AUUUGUCAUUGUCUUUACGGUC
rnacentral:snRNA from 1 species